rnacentral:rRNA from 1 species
AUUGAACGCUAGCGGCAGGCCUAACACCUGCAAGUCGAACGAGUGGCGGACGGGUGAGUAAUGUCUGGGAAACUGCCUGAUGGAGGGGGAUAACUACUGGAAACGGUAGAUAAUCCCGCAUACCAUCAGAUGUGCUCGGAUGGGAUUGGCUUGUUGGUGGGGUAACGGCGCACCAAGGCGACGAUCCCUCGCUGGUCUGAGAGGAUGACCAGCCACACUGGAACUGAGACACGGUCCAGACUCCUACGGUAGGCAGCAGUGGGGAAUAUUGCACAAUGGGCGCAAGCCUGAUGCAGCCAUGCCGCGUGUAUGAAGAAGGCCUUCGGGUUGUAAAGUACUUUCAGCGGGGAGGCGUUACCCGCAGAAGAAUCACCGGCUAACUCCGUGCCAGCCGCCGCGGUAAUUC